rnacentral:lncRNA from 7 species
CAGUUUCAGGUGAAUCUGUCUAGCCUUCAUCCUGAUACCAAUAUCAAGAAAACCGUCAUGCACAAGUAGGCUAGUUCAAUGAACAGUGAAGCAUUAAAGAACUGGAAGUGAUGAAAUCUAAAAGAAUGGAGAAAAGGUUUCCUAGGCUGUGAUCUUCACUUGAGUAUGCAUGCUGACACUGUGAGCCCUAAGGGGACAGGAUGUGCAGUCCAAUGUUACAAGGGAAGUCAAAAGGUAUUUCAGAGUCAGCUUCUUCCAAAUGUUACACCUUGCUCUACAUCCUUCCAAAUUGUCUAGGUGGGGCCUUGUAUAGGCUGAACAAUCCCAAAGAACCCAUCAGCAGCUACAGUCUUGACUCCAAGCUCUGGCUACCACCAGUGCAGUGCUCCUGGAAUUUCUGAGAGUAAUUAAUCACUUCUUACAUAAUCUAUGUUCAACUACCACACUAAACCAGCAAUAUGACAUGGCUGCUUUCUGCCAGUAUCAUGGGACCUGUGAUGUCAAACUUGGAGUGAAAUAUCUAACUUCUGGAUAUAUAAAAUCAGAAUGAAGGUCAAGACAGUAUAAUGAGGAAAAGGAGUUGAUAAAUCUUUAAGGAGGAUGAAAGUAAAAAAGAUGCUUAAGAUGGAUUCUGAAUCUCCUUCUGUGGAGGUGGUUGAGCAGACAGUCUCUCUUCAUGAGAAUCAGGAUGCAGCAAUGAGAGAUAAGUAGAGAAGAAAACUAGAAUGAGUGAAUACAGAAAGCGCUCCUUUGGUGCAAAGAGGAGAACAAGAGACAAGAGUUGUACAAGUACAGCAGCAACAUGUUAAUGGUUUUGUGUUGAUAUUUUUGAUGCCAUAUCAGAGUACUUAAUGUUCACGUUGUGAGGCAAAGGCACUUCUAAGAAAGGCUGAUGGAUAAUGAACAAGAAUUCCCUCAACAGCUGUGUGGGAAAAGUGCAUCUACCCAAAGAAACAAUCAUCAGAGCAGUAGAAAAAGUACUAGAAAAAAUUAAAGACAGUACAGUCUCAUGAAAAUCAGGAUCAGAAAGAUCAAUGUGAAGCACAGGAGAUGAACAGACACUGCUUUUGGAUAGGAAUGACUGAAAGCAUCCAAAUGCAGUUGGAGGAAUGAAAGAGAACAUCAGCUCUGUUCUGCAACCUCAGAAAACACGUGGUUUCAAUGCUGAACAAACCCAGGCCCUUCAGGAGCACAUUCCAGAAGUAAAACUGAAACAGUAUAAAUCAAAAGUACAUUAACAAAUACUGCUGCUUAAAGUGUGUGUAGGGCUGGUGAUAGCAUAAAUUUGGUUCAGUAUCAAAUACAGGAAACACAGCCUAGUGAAUAUGAUAAAUGAACAAUAUUUCAGCACAACAAAGUUUUGCCUGUGUCACAAGACACAGGUGAAAAACCACACAGCUUCAUUAUUUUUAAAGCAUCACCAUCAGUGGUAGAUUGCAGUGGUGAAUAUUUUCUGAAUAUUAUAUGAGGUUUAUGUUUAAUUUAUAAUAAAUGACAGUGCAGAAGAGGCAAACCUGAAAAUUCUCCAGUGCAUACUGAAUCACUGGUCAUUCCACCCUCAAAAGAAUUUGAAUUUCAAGAAGAAUUUUUAAUUGAACCCUCUGGAUUUUAGUUUAUGAUUUAAUCUACCAAGUUGCUAAGGCAACCAACGAUUAUAGCUGUUGGGCAAAAUUCACAGAAUUGUUAAUCGAUCUUAAUCUGGAUACAGUGCAUCAGUAGUUAUUACACAGGGGAAAUAGAAAAUGCUAAGAAAAAGUUUGUGUUUAAUUCUUAAAUUACAAUGUAGAAUGAUGCUAGAAUUGCAAAUAUACUCUUUGUGAUAAAUAUCUAUAUUAAAAAUACCAUAUU